rnacentral:tRNA from 2 species
GAGAUGUUAGUAAAACAAUCACAUAACCUUGUCAAGGUUAAAUCAUAGGUGAAACCCCUAUACAUCCCA